UGUGUUUAAUGUUAAAUCUUAAAGCUCAACUUUGAAAUUGCGUUAAAAACUGCUUGUCUUGAGUAUGGUAGGGGUAAAGGGAAUUCCCAGUGUAGCGGUGAAAUGCGUAGAUAUUGGGAAGAACACUAAACAGCGAAGGCACUUUACUAGGCUAAUACUGACGCUGAGAAACGAAAGGUAAGGUAGCGAAACGGAUUAGAUACCCGUGUAGUCUUACCCGUAAACUAUGGACACUAAACGGUAAAUUUUUAAUUUACUGUUAAAGCUAACGCGUUAAGUGUCCCGCCUGGGGAGUAUGCUUGCAAAAGUGAAACUCAAAGGAAUUGACGGGGGCCCGCACAAGCGGUGGAGCAUGUGGUUUAAUUCGACGGUACACGAAGAACCUUACCAGGAUUUGACAUGCUAGAUAGUUGCUUGAAAGAGUAACGUGCCGUAAGGAAUCUAGACACAGGUGGUGCAUGGCUGUCGUCAGUUCGUGUUGUGAAAUGUUGGGUUAAGUCCCGCAACGAACGCAACCCUUGUCUUUAGUUAUUUUCUAAAGAGACUGCCUGUAAUAAACAGGAGGAAGGUAAGGAUGAGGUCAAGUCAUCAUGCCCCUUAUGUCCUGGGCUACACACGUGCUACAAUGGGAAAGACAAUGAGCUGCAAAUCUGUAAAUUUAAGCAAAUCUCUUAAACUUUCUCGUAGUUCGGAUUGUGGGCUGCAACUCGCCCACAUGAAGUUGGAAUCGCUAGUAAUCGCCAGUCAGCUAUAUGGCGGUGAAUCCGUUCCCGGGCCU
rnacentral:rRNA from 1 species